CAUUUUAUUUCCCUCACUUCCUGCCUCCACCUGGUCCACUUGCUCAACUUUACUGAUCUCCCUUCUAUUAUUAUUAUUAUUGUUUUAAAUUUGCAUGUUAUAAUUAUAUACAUAGUAUGAUUAGCUGUGCUAUAUUUAUACAUGGACAUAGAUAAUUUGGUAGAUUUAAUUCCUUGGUACUUUCCUCUCUCCUCCUGAAGGAUAAAUAUUUCUGGAAUGGUAGGGAAAUCCUCUUGUAAAAUCUGCUCCUCAAUAAAAUUGAUGAGAAGAGAGGCAAAAAAAUAAUUGGUAAAAAUUGGCUUCAAAACUUGGAAUUAAAUAAAAUUUCCAGUAGCCCAAAGUGAAGGUAUUCAAGAAAAUUGGCUAAAUCCUGGUAAGAACAGUAAUCAUUGUGGUGUUUUAAUUCACCUUAUUCCCUAGUCUCUAAUUCUAGAGUAUCCCUAAAAAUGAACAGUGGUAGUUGUGAAAAACAGUAGUCUACUAGCCACUGGAGGAGCAGAAUAUGUAUAGAAUUCCAUAAAAAGAACCAUCUCCACAUAACUGUCAGUAUUUGAUCUAUGGGCAGCUCUCUGGAAAUGCUCAUUCCCAGGAAAUGUCUUUAUUUGACCCGAUUUAAAAAUGUGCUCUUGCAAGCAAUGCUAUCUUUGAAAUAAUUUUC
rnacentral:lncRNA from 1 species